rnacentral:rRNA from 1 species
GAUGAACGCUGGCGGCGUGCCUAAUACAUGCAAGUCGAGCGAACGGACGGGAAGCUUGCUUCUCUGAUGUUAGCGGCGGACGGGUGAGUAACACGUGGAUAACCUACCUAUAAGACUGGGAUAACUUCGGGAAACCGGAGCUAAUACCGGAUCAUAUUUUGAACCGCAUGGUUCAAAAGUGAAAGACGGUCUUGCCGUCACUUAUCGAUGGAUCCGCGCUGCAUUAGCUAGUUGGUAAGGUAACGGCUUACCAAGGCAACGAUGCAUAGCCGACCUGAGAGGGUGAUCGGCCACACUAGAACUGAGACACGGUCCAGACGCCUACGGGAGGCAGCAGUAGGGAAUCUUCCGCAAUGGGCGAAAGCCUGACGGAGCAACGCCGCGUGAGUGAUGAAGGUCUUCGGAUCGUAAAACUCUGUUAUUAGGGAAGAACAUAUGUGUAAGUAACUGUGCACAUCUUGACGGUACCUAAUCAGAAAGCCACGGCUAACUACGUG